rnacentral:misc_RNA from 1 species
UUGCAGCCCGGCUUGAGUGGAGCUCUUUUUGCUGAAACGAAGUGGAAGCAAAAAAGCGGGAACGGAAGACGGAUACAGC